UGAGUAUUAACCACUGGUUAUAAUAAACGAAGGUGAAAAUGUUGAACCGGCUGAACUUGAAGCAGCUGCAAUGAGGAGUAGCAUAAUUCAACAAAUUAUUGUUGUUGGCCAGGAUAAGCGACGUCUGGGUGCUGUAAUUGUUCCUAACAGAGAAGAAGCCUUGAAUGUAGCAAGGAAGUUGUCAGUUAUAGAUUCAAAGAGUUCAGAUGUUAGUGAGG